rnacentral:rRNA from 1 species
CGCAAGUUGCGCCCGAAGCCAUUAGGCCGAGGGCACGUCUGCCUGGGCGUCACGCAUCGCGUCGCCCCCUCCCACUCCUUUCUUUUGCGAAAGUGGGUGGAUUACAAGGGGGACGUACAUUGGCCUCCCGUGCUCUUGUUGUGCGGCCGGCCUAAAUUUGAU